rnacentral:rRNA from 1 species
UACGGGGGGGGCAAGCGUUGUUCGGAAUUACUGGGCGUAAAGGGCUCGUAGGCGGCCAACUAAGUCGGAUGUGAAAUCCCCAGGCUUAACCUGGGAACUGCAUCCGAUACUGGAUGGCUUGAAUCCGGGAGAGGGAUGCAGAAUUCCAGGUGUAGCGGUGAAAUGCGCAGAUAUCGGGAGGAACACCGGUGGCGAAGGCGGUUCUCUGGGCCUUACCUGACGCUGAGGAGCGAAAGCGUGGGGAGCGAACAGG